rnacentral:rRNA from 1 species
GACGAACGCUGGCGGCGUGCCUAAUACAUGCAAGUCGAGCGCGAGAGUGAGGAGCUUGCUCCUCAUAAUCGAGCGGCGGACGGGUGAGUAACACGUAGGCAACCUACCCUUGAGAUUGGGAUAACUACCGGAAACGGUAGCUAAUACCGGAUACGACUUUUCCACACAAGUGGAAUGGUUAAAAGGCGGAUUUAUCUGCCGCUCAUGGAUGGGCUGCGGUGCAUUAGCUAGUUGGUGAGGUAGUGGCUCACCAAGGCGACGAUGCAUAGCCGACCUGAGAGGGUGACCGGCCACACUGGGACUGAGACACGGCCCAGACUCCUGCGGGAGGCAGCAGUAGGGAAUCUUCCGCAAUGGACGCAAGUCUGACGGAGCAACGCCGCGUGAGUGAUGAAGGGUUUCGGCUCGUAAAACUCUGUUGUUAAGGAAGAGCACUUGAGGUAGUAACUGGCCUUGAGAUGACGGUACUUAACCAGAAAGCCACGGCUAACUACGUGCCAGCCGCCGCCGUAA